UACUGUAAACCAACUUAAUUUCGCGGAUACUUUAUUUCGCGUUUUACCCUUACUGGUCAACUUCGCGGCUAUUUAAUUUCGCGAUAUUUUUUCAUUUAAAUGCCGUAGCUUAAUAUUGAAAGGUCCAAGUUUUACAUAUUCGCGACGAUUUAUAUUCGCGUUAUUUUUCUACUCGCGAAAGUCGCGAAAAUAAAUCGCUCGGGAAAAUAAGUUGGUUUACAGUA
rnacentral:lncRNA from 1 species